UACGGGGGGUGCGAGCGUUGUCCGGAAUCACUGGGCGUAAAGGGCGCGUAGGUGGCUUUGUAAGUUUGCGGUGAAAGCCCGGGGCUCAACCCCGGGUCUGCCGUGGAUACUGCAAGGCUUGAGUACUGUAGAGGCAGGUAGAAUAUCGGGUGUAGCGGUGGAAUGCGUAGAUAUUGGGAAGAACACCGGUGGCGAAGGCGGCGACCUGGUCCAUUACUGACGCUGAGGCGCGAAAGCGUGGGGAGCAAACAGG
rnacentral:rRNA from 1 species